CGCGCAGGCGGUCGUAUAAGUCGAAUGUGAAAGCCCCCGGCUCAACUGGGGAGGGUCAUUCGAUACUGUUCGACUCGAAGGCAGGAGAGGGAAGCGGAAUUCCCGGUGUAGUGGUGAAAUGCGUAGAUAUCGGGAGGAACACCAGUGGCGAAGGCGGCUUUCUGGCCUGUUCUUGACGCUGAGGCGCGAAAGCCAGGGGAGCAAACG
rnacentral:rRNA from 1 species